rnacentral:rRNA from 1 species
UGGGGAAUUUUGCACAAUGGGGGAAACCCUGAUGCAGCGACGCCGCGUGAUUUAGAAGGCCUUCGGGUUGUAAAAAUCUUUUCUAUGGGAAGAAAAUGACAGUACCAUAGGAAUAAGGACCGGCUAAUUACGUGCCAGCAGCCGCGGUAAUACGUAAGGUCCGAGCGUUGUCCGGAAUCAUUUGGCGUAAAGGGUACGUAGGCGGGUAAGCAAGUUAGAAGUGAAAUCCUAUAGCUCAACUAUAGUAAGCUUUUAAAACUGCUAAUCUUGAGGUAUGGAAGGGAAAGUGGAAUUCCUAGUGUAGCGGUGAAAUGCGCAGAUAUUAGGAGGAAUACCGGUGGCGAAGGCGACUUUCUGGCCAUAACCUGACGCUGAGGUACGAAAGCGUGGGUAGCAAACAGG